AGUGAACGCUGGCGGUAGGCCUAACACAUGCAAGUCGAACGGCAGCACAGUAAGAGCUUGCUCUUACGGGUGGCGAGUGGCGGACGGGUGAGGAAUACAUCGGAAUCUACUUUUUCGUGGGGGAUAACGUAGGGAAACUUACGCUAAUACCGCAUACGACCUACGGGUGAAAGCAGGGGAUCUUCGGACCUUGCGCGAUUGAAUGAGCCGAUGUCGGAUUAGCUAGUUGGCGGGGUAAAGGCCCACCAAGGCGACGAUCCGUAGCUGGUCUGAGAGGAUGAUCAGCCACACUGGAACUGAGACACGGUCCAGACUCCUACGGGAGGCAGCAGUGGGGAAUGUUGGACAAUGGGCGCAAGCCUGAUCCAGCCAUACCGCGUGGGUGAAGAAGGCCUUCGGGUUGUAAAGCCCUUUUGUUGGGAAAGAAAAGCAGCAGGUUAAUACCCCGCUGUUCUGACGGUACCCAAAGAAUAAGCACCGGCCAACUUCGUG
rnacentral:rRNA from 1 species